rnacentral:rRNA from 1 species
CCUACGGGUGGCUGCAGUGGGGAAUAUUGCACAAUGGGCGCAAGCCUGAUGCAGCCAUGCCGCGUGUGUGAAGAAGGCCUUCGGGUUGUAAAGCACUUUCAGCGGGGAGGAAGGCGGUGAGGUUAAUAACCUCAUCGAUUGACGUUACCCGCAGAAGAAGCACCGGCUAACUCCGUGCCAGCAGCCGCGGUAAUACGGAGGGUGCAAGCGUUAAUCGGAAUUACUGGGCGUAAAGCGCACGCAGGCGGUCUGUCAAGUCGGAUGUGAAAUCCCCGGGCUCAACCUGGGAACUGCAUUCGAAACUGGCAGGCUAGAGCCUUGUAGAGGGGGGUAGAAUUCCAGGUGUAGCGGUGAAAUGCGUAGAGAUCUGGAGGAAUACCGGUGGCGAAGGCGGCCCCCUGGACAAAGACUGACGCUCAGGUGCGAAAGCGUGGGGAGCAAACAGGAUUAGAUACCCCGGUAGUC